AGCGGCGAACGGGUGAGUAACACGUAGGUGAUCUGCCCAUCAGACGGGGACAACGAUUGGAAACGAUCGCUAAUACCGGAUAGGACGAAAGUUUAAAGGUGCUUCUGGCACCGCUGAUGGAUGAGCCUGCGGCGCAUUAGCUAGUUGGUAGGGUAAAGGCCUACCAAGGCGACGAUGCGUAGCCGACCUGAGAGGGUGAACGGCCACACUGGGACUGAGACACGGCCCAGACUCCUACGGGAGGCAGCAGUAGGGAAUCUUCGGCAAUGGGCGAAAGCCUGACCGAGCAACGCCGCGUGAAUGAUGAAGGCCUUCGGGUUGUAAAAUUCUGUUAUAAGGGAAGAACGACUUUAGUAGGAAAUGGCUAGAGUGUGACGGUACCUUAUGAGAAAGCCACGGCUAACUACGUGCCAGCAGCCGCGGUAAUACGUAGGUGGCGAGCGUUAUCCGGAAUUAUUGGGCGUAAAGAGCGCGCAGGUGGUUGAUUAAGUCUGAUGUGAAAGCCCACGGCUUAACCGUGGAGGGUCAUUGGAAACUGGUCGACUUGAGUGCAGAAGAGGGAAGUGGAAUUCCAUGUGUAGCGGUGAAAUGCGUAGAGAUAUGGGGGAACACCAGUGGCGAAGGCGGCUUCCUGGUCUGUAACUGACACUGAGGCGCGAAAGCGUGGGGAGCAAACAGGAUUAGAUACCCUGGUAGUCCACGCCGUAAACGAUAAGUGCUAAGUGU
rnacentral:rRNA from 1 species